rnacentral:sRNA from 1 species
GCCAGGUGUAAUGGCACACACCUGUAAUCCAAGCACCUCAGGAGGCUGAGGCAGGAGGAUCAUGAGAGUGAAGCCAGCCUCAGCAAUGGUGAGGAGCUAAGCAACUCAGUGAGACCCUGUCUCCA